rnacentral:tRNA from 1 species
CGCCGUUGCCGGGAAUUGAACCCGGGUCUCCUGCGUGACAGGCAGGAAUACUGACCACUAUACUACAACGAC